GACGAACGCUGGCGGCGUGCUUAACACAUGCAAGUCGAACGGAAAGGCCCUGCUUUUGUGGGGUGCUCGAGUGGCGAACGGGUGAGUAACACGUGAGUAACCUGCCCUUGACUUUGGGAUAACUUCAGGAAACUGGGGCUAAUACCGGAUAGGAGCUCCUGCUGCAUGGUGGGGGUUGGAAAGUUUCGGCGGUUGGGGAUGGACUCGCGGCUUAUCAGCUUGUUGGUGGGGUAGUGGCUUACCAAGGCUUUGACGGGUAGCCGGCCUGAGAGGGUGACCGGCCACAUUGGGACUGAGAUACGGACCAGACUCCUACGGGAGGCAGCAGUGGGGAAUAUUGCACAAUGGGCGGAAGCCUGAUGCAGCAACGCCGCGUGCGGGAUGACGGCCUGCGGGUUGUAAACCGCUUUCGCCUGUGACGAAGCGUGAGUGACGGUAAUGGGUAAAGAAGCACCGGCUAACUACGUG
rnacentral:rRNA from 1 species